rnacentral:rRNA from 1 species
AAAGUUUUAAAGGUCGAACAGACCUAACAUUCAAGCUUUUGCACCAGAAGUUUACUUUAAUCCAACAUCGAGGUCGCAACCCCUUCCAUCAAUAAGAACUCUAAAGAAAGAUUACG